rnacentral:rRNA from 1 species
AUUGAACGCUGGCGGAAUGCUUUACACAUGCAAGUCGAACGGUAGAGGGGGCAACCCCUCGAGAGUGGCGAACGGGUGAGUAAUAUAUCGGAACGUGCCCAGUCGUGGGGGAUAACGUAGCGAAAGUUACGCUAAUACCGCAUACGAUCUACGGAUGCAAGCGGGGGAUCGCAAGACCCCGCGCGAUUGGAGCGGCCGAUAUCAGAUUAGGUAGUUGGUGGGGUAAAGGCUCACCAAGCCAACGAUCUGUAGCUGGUCUGAGAGGACGACCAGCCACACUGGAACUGAGACACGGUCCAGACUCCUACGGGAGGCAGCAGUGGGGAAUUUUGGGCAAUGGACGCAAGUCUGAUCCAGCCAUUCCGCGUGCAGGAUGAAGGCCCUCGGGUUGUAAACUGCUUUUGUACGGAACGAAAAGGUUUCCAUUAAUACUGGGAGCUCAUGACGGUACCGUAAGAAUAAGCACCGGCUAACUACGUGCCAGCAGCCGCCGUAA